rnacentral:rRNA from 1 species
GACGAACGCUGGCGGCGUGCUUAACACAUGCAAGUCGAGCGGUAAGGCCCUUUCGGGGGUACACGAGCGGCGAACGGGUGAGUAACACGUGGGUGACCUGCCUUUAGCUCUGGGAUAAGCCUGGGAAACUGGGUCUAAUACCGGAUAUGACUCCAUGAUGCAUGUUGGUGGGGUGGAAAGCCUUGUGCGGCUGGAGAUGGGCCCGCGGCCUAUCAGCUUGGUUGGUGGGGUGAGGCCUACCAAGGCGACGACGGGUAGCCGGCCUGAGGA